GACGAACGCUGGCGGCGUGCUUAACACAUGCAAGUCGAACGGAAAGGCCCUGCUUUUGUGUGGUUCUCGAGUCGCGAACGGGUGAGUAACACGGGAGUAACCUGCCCUUGACUUUGGGAUAACUUCAGGAAACUGGGGCUAAUACCGGAUAGCUGCUUCUGCUUCAUGGUGGUGGUCGGAAAGUUUCGGCGGUGGGGGGUGGACGCGCGGCUUAUCAGCUUGUGGGGGGGGUAGUGGCUUACCAAGGAUUCGACGGGUAGCCGGCCUGAGAGGGUGACCGGCCACAAUGGGACUGAGAUACGGCCCAGACUCCUACGGGAGGCAGCAGUGGGGAAUAUUGCACAAUGGGCGGAAGCCUGAUGCAGCAACGCCGCGUGCGGGAUGACGGCCUUCGGGUUGUAAACCGCUUUCGCCUGUGACGAAGCGUGAGUGACGGUAAUGGGUAAAGAAGCACCGGCUAACUACGUG
rnacentral:rRNA from 1 species